rnacentral:rRNA from 1 species
UACAUAGGGUGCGAGCGAUAAUCGGAAUUACUGCGCGUAAAGCGCACGUAGGUGGCGACGUAAGUCGGGUGUGAAAGCCCCGGGCUCAAGCUGGGAAUUGCAUUCGAGACUGCAUUGCUGGAGUACGGAAGAGGAGGGCGGAAUUCCCGGUGUAGCGGUGAAAUGCGUAGAUAUCGGGAGGAACAUCAGUGGCGAAGGCGGCCCUCUGGUCCAGUACUGGCAGUCAAGUGCGAAGGCGUGGGGAGCAAACAUG